AGGAUUAUAGGGAGGUUUCAGCUUUCUGAUGAUCUUUAAAAUGAUUGGCUCUUUAAAAUGAUUGGCUCUACACCUGAAGACAAGAGCAGGAGUCAGAGUGUGAAGCCAGCUCUAGGUGUUGCUUCUGCGACUGCCUUUGGCCAUUGAUGAUGGUUCUUCCUUUCCUCUGGAAAGGGUAGAGGGAGAGGAUGCAGUGUGAGUGAU